UAACACUUCAUUAGGAUCAGAGCAGAAUCUCAGUUUUACUAACAUCAGCUCUGGGGACAUGGGGCAAUACUAUUGUGAAGUGGCAAACACAGUUGCAUCCAGUUACUCUGCAGUGCUACAUAUGAAUGUUUACUAUUCCCCCAGGAACACAGAAGUGAUCAUUAGUUCCUCUGGAGAGGGAAGUUUAGUGACUCUCACCUGCAACACUGACUCCAAUCCCCCAGUGCACACAUACUCCUGGUACAGGAAGAAUAGUAGUGGCUCUGUUCUUACGGCCACAGGGAAUAGCAGCAGCUUUACUGGUGUCUCGGAUGGUGACAUUUACUAUUGUGUAGCACACAAUGAAUAUGGCUCUCAUAACUCCUUUGAAAUUGAAGUGACUUCCACAGCCCUAAAUCAGCAAACAGGUAUGCCAGCAGGGCUGUUUGCUGCUUUAGGGAUCAUACCAGCUGUAGCUAUAAUAGUGGUCCUUGUGUUUGUGUGCAGAAGAGGGAAAGGUAUAUCCACCACUGAGAACACAAGUACAAUGGUAGAUGAUAAACAGCCGGAAGACCCCAGUCCUGUGUAUGAACAAGUUUCUGCAGUGCUGUUGACAUCUGACCAAGAAGACAGAGUGGACUCACAAGGAGAUCAAGAGGUCUCAGGAGGAGACAGAGUGGACUCACAAGGAGAUCAAGAGGUCUCAGGAGGAGAUCAAGUCGUCUCAGGAGGAGCUCCAGUGGUCUCAGGAGAAGAUCAAAAUGACUCAGGAGGAGUCCAGUACGGCAAUAUCCAGUUCAAGGCCAAAAACAAGGACACGGCUCAAGAUUCUCCAGCUGUGCAAUCUCAAUAGAAGGAGGAAGAGGAAGAGGAUGUUGCAUACGCCUCGGUGAAGUUCCGUUCUCCCCCCGUGAUGUCAUCCAAGAUGAGGAUGAUACUGCAAUCUACAGCAAUGUCAACAAACCCAGAAGCUGAACACAAAGGACUAAAGUGUGUCUGACCCCAACAGGCUUGUAGCAUCCUAAGAUUUCAAGAUAAAUAACAUUUUCUUGCUGUAUCCAAAAUCCCCUUUUGCAUUAUUAUUAUUAUGACCGCCGCGGUCAUAUAGGUUUAGUCAGAUUAUUUAUUUUUUGUUUUUUUUCGCAUGGCCAAAUUU